GAUGAACGCUAGCUACAGGCUUAACACAUGCAAGUCGAGGGGUAGCAGGGUAGCAAUACCGCUGACGACCGGCGCACGGGUGAGUAACACGUAUCCAACCUUCCCAUAACUCGGGGAUAGCCUUUCGAAAGAAAGAUUAAUACCGGAUGGUACUUUCUCAAGGCAUCUUGAGAAAGUUAAAGAUUUAUUGGUUAUGGAUGGGGAUGCGUUCCAUUAGAUAGUUGGUGGGGUAACGGCUCACCAAGUCUUCGAUGGAUAGGGGUUCUGAGAGGAAGGUCCCCCACAUUGGUACUGAGACACGGACCAAACUCCUACGGGAGGCAGCAGUGAGGAAUAUUGGUCAAUGGGCGAGAGCCUGAACCAGCCAAGUAGCGUGAAGGAUGAAGGUCCUAUGGAUUGUGAACUGCUUUUAUACAGGAAUAAAGUUAGCCACGUGUGGUUAUUUGUAGGUACUGUAUGAAUAAGGACCGGCUAAUUCCGUGCCAGCCGCCGCAGUAA
rnacentral:rRNA from 1 species